AAACAAUUUGGGAAGUACGCCCUCCCCACAUCACAAACAUUCUCAGACCCCUCAGAAGACCCCAAAACACCAAAACAAGGUCCUACAAUAUAUGCGUUUUUUUAAAGCAAAUCCACUCUCUAGCUUCAGGCUGCAUGUGACCUGGUUUCUCUCUUUAAUUUUAUAGCUAUGGUGGAAAGCUAACAGUGUAGUAUGUCAUGGUCAAUAUGUCAACCGCAAAGUGACUUCAUCACUCUUCACAGCAUCCCUGGAGGAAGGUGGCACUGGCUCUGUCCUACAGGAGAAUUAAUUGGUGCUGACUACAAGGACUGUACAAGAAAGAGGUGAAGAAGAGACUGGAAAACCAACAUGAGAACUUCAUCUUAUAAGACAAUGAAGACAAGGGAACCAGAGCAACGGUCAGCCCGAGGCUUCUUCAGCUGUAGCCUGUGGACCAAAGGCAUCAGAACCAGCUGGGCCCCAGCCAGGAAACGCAGAAUCCUGGGCCCCUCACGAACCCGGCUACGUCAGGACUUGUGUGGGCCACUGGCCCAGAUGCUUGUCCUUGUUCCUCUACCUUGGACUCCUUUACCUCCCAGCUGAGUUGGACAUCCUGUCAGCCCAGGUUCAUUGUCUGUUACCUGCCCCCACAAGGUAAGUCCCCACCUUUCUCUAUGGCUGAAUGGGCUGGAUCCAGUCCCAUCUUGAGG